rnacentral:rRNA from 1 species
AAAUUGAAGAGUUUGAUCAUGGCUCAGAUUGAACGCUGGCGGCAGGCCUAACACAUGCAAGUCGAACGGUAACAGGAAGCAGCUUGCUGCUUCGCUGACGAGUGGCGGACGGGUGAGUAAUGUCUGGGAAACUGCCUGAUGGAGGGGGAUAACUACUGGAAACGGUAGCUAAUACCGCAUAACGUCGCAAGACCAAAGAGGGGGACCUUCGGGCCUCUUGCCAUCGGAUGUGCCCAGAUGGGAUUAGCUUGUUGGUGGGGUAACGGCUCACCAAGGCGACGAUCCCUAGCUGGUCUGAGAGGAUGACCAGCCACACUGGAACUGAGACACGGUCCAGACUCCUACGGGAGGCAGCAGUGGGGAAUAUUGCACAAUGGGCGCAAGCCUGAUGCAGCCAUGCCGCGUGUAUGAAGAAGGCCUUCGGGUUGUAAAGUACUUUCAGCGGGGAGGAAGGGAGUAAAGUUAAUACCUUUGCUCAUUGACGUUACCCGCAGAAGAAGCACCGGCUAACUCCGUGCCAGCAGCCGCGGUAAUACGGAGGGUGCAAGCGUUAAUCGGAAUUACUGGGCGUAAAGCGCACGCAGGCGGUUUGUUAAGUCAGAUGUGAAAUCCCCGGGCUCAACCUGGGAACUGCAUCUGAUACUGGCAAGCUUGAGUCUCGUAGAGGGGGGUAGAAUUCCAGGUGUAGCGGUGAAAUGCGUAGAGAUCUGGAGGAAUACCGGUGGCGAAGGCGGCCCCCUGGACGAAGACUGACGCUCAGGUGCGAAAGCGUGGGGAGCAAACAGGAUUAGAUACCCUGGUAGUCCACGCCGUAAACGAUGUCGACUUGGAGGUUGUGCCCUUGAGGCGUGGCUUCCGGAGCUAACGCGUUAAGUCGACCGCCUGGGGAGUACGGCCGCAAGGUUAAAACUCAAAUGAAUUGACGGGGGCCCGCACAAGCGGUGGAGCAUGUGGUUUAAUUCGAUGCAACGCGAAGAACCUUACCUGGUCUUGACAUCCACAGAACUUUCCAGAGAUGGAUUGGUGCCUUCGGGAACUGUGAGACAGGUGCUGCAUGGCUGUCGUCAGCUCGUGUUGUGAAAUGUUGGGUUAAGUCCCGCAACGAGCGCAACCCUUAUCCUUUGUUGC